GAGUUUGAUCCUGGCUCAGGAUGAACGCUGGCGGCGUGCUUAACACAUGCAAGUCGAGCGAAGCACUCUGUCCGGAUUCUUUCGGGAUGACGGACUUAGUGACUGAGCGGCGGACGGGUGAGUAACGCGUGGGUAACCUGCCUCAUACAGGGGGAUAACAGUUAGAAAUGACUGCUAAUACCGCAUAAGACCACAGUACCGCAUGGUACAGGGGUAAAAACUCCGGUGGUAUGAGAUGGGGAUGCGUUCCAUUAGUUUG
rnacentral:rRNA from 1 species